GCUUCUCAGCACCCACUUGGUGGCUCAUAACUGCCUGCAACUCCAGUUCCCGGAGCUCCAGUGCCCACUGUUCGUCUCCUCCGGCACUGCACACACAUGGUGCACAGACAUAUAUGCAGGCAAAAUACCCAGACAUGUAAAGUCAAAUUAAAUCUCAAAAAUAAGAGCUUAGGUGAUUUCCUUGAUGCGAAGUUCACAACAGACUCCGGGAAGGAAGCAACAGUGCUUAGAAAGAUGUCAUAAACCAUUUUCUCAUUGGAAGCCAGUAGCAUAUGGUGGUGAAGCCUGUGCAGGGGAUGGCAAACUCAAGUGUUUACACACACACUAGCAUUGAUCGAAUGGUUCUCUUUCUACACAUUUCAGGAUUUGUUUCUUACUCUAGGUUUUGCAGUUGAGGGCAUCUUUUAUGACAGAAAUUCUAUGCAGCCCAUGUGUGGCUUUGGAUGAGACCAAGUAGCUCAAAUCCAUGAUGGAAAUUAAAUUAUAGUCAUGAUUCAGUAUUCAAUUGCAAAAAUACAGUUUAUAUGCAAAGAGCAGUUGGGGGAGGGGCAGGAGGCAAGUCAGAUUCUCAGGUGUGUGCAGUUGGUAUCAGAAUGCACCCACAGAGCCGCAGAAGAGGGAGGGCUGUUUCCAGGUACAGAGUGAGCAUGGCGAGCUGGUGUGAUUCUGGAAACCACGUGCCACGUCCUCCUAGUGUCAAACUGUGUCCAGUCCGCAGAACUGAUAUGGAAUCCCCCAAAACAGAGAAGAAGUGGCAUCCCAAAGCAGACAAGAGAAGAAUCAUCAGGUUGUCCAACUCUAUACAGACUUACCCUCUCCCACUCAAGGUCAAAGUGACGUGUCUCCUUGAGACUUUGGGAAAUCUUUUAGCAGGCGUGAGCACACAGAUGCAGUGUGGAUGCUUUAGGGAGAUGGCCUGGACUGCUUGAGGGCGUACCACUCCAUCAGCUAAGAUGUGUACUCAAAUCAUCUGUAAAGUCUCGCUCUUACCACAAGCUUCUGAGUUUUAAAUACCUCCGUCCAGCAAGUAAACAUUCCCGCUUUCUGUUCUCAGUGUCCUUGGUCAUGGUGCUUUGCGUUGCAUUAAAAGUGCCGGUCAAACUUUGAUAGUAUUUUUUUAUAGUUGGUGCAGAGUGGAAUAACUCAUGGAUUAUUUCAAUAUUUUUGUAAUAAAAAUAUAGGGUGUACAUAUAGGCAUUGUUGCUUUUUUUAUAGACUUGGGAUUAUUUAAAAUACAUUAAAUGUCAUCUUCACUUGGGAUGUCAGAAUCCAGUCAACAGAUUCAUCAGCCUGCCUCAACAGAUUGAAAACACUUGGCCCUGGAGACAUCACCUUCCUUUUUGCAAUUUGACGGCCCAGGAAUCUGACCAGGGUGCUAUCAGAGCAUCAAGUAAAGAAGGAAGUGGCCUAAUUAGAAAGGGCUUGCGAAAACUGAUCAGUGUCUCCCAGGAAAUCAAAGAUGGAAGUGAUUUUGUUCAUCCAUCCAUUAGAACAAUCUGACCACAGUGGAAGAUGUCUUAAACUUUCUUCCCUGGUUUUAUACUAACCCAACUGAUAUAUUAAAGAUUAGUCAAGUCAUCAAAAAUAAAAAAGGAAGAAAGUCAGUUUCAUUUAACUCUUCACUGAAAAUAGUCAAGAUCUAGAGCCACCACCCAUAAUAAAUGAGUCAUCCUAAGACUGUGGUCCCCAAAGUAACAUCCACAGGAAAGGACAGAGGGCUCAAAGCAAUUUUUUAAGACAGACAGUUUUUAUCAGACAAAUUUCCUAAUACUCAAUGAUUUGACCCUUCAAGCAAGAUUUCCACUACAAUUCACUAAUCUUUUGUUGGAAUGGAGAAAAUUCCCUUGCUGCCAGUAAAGCUUCAAGGAGGACCCUCAUUGUCUAGGCAAAUGGUGGGCAUUAUCCUGUUCCAGUGUAGAAGGAAAUCACGAUCAAUUUGGGCAGUUCUCCGCCGGUGUGCAGAACCAUGCGCUAUCAACUUCAUUAGUUCCAAGACAACUUUUCACUGAUGAGCUUUGGAGUCUGCCUUUCCCAAGGGAUCUACAGCUCUGAUUGUGAGUGAACAGCCAUUAAUGUCACCAUAGUGACCAGCCAAACAAGCCAAUGGGAGCACCCGCUCUUGGAUCACAAACACCUUGGAACUUGUCAAGUUUUACUGGAGAUGAAUUGCAGUUCAUUAAUCUAACAGACACUUAAACCUUGGAAAUUCUUGACUUGUACUAUUAUAAUCAAACUACUAGGAGAGAACACGAAUCAGCAGAUGGCAGAGGGCCACUUGUUCAGUGCUGUGCCCUGACGUGUCCACGCCUGAAGAGAACAACCUCUGAGAAGCAGAGCUGAGGAAAUCGUGCUACCUGGUCUCUCACCACAAAUGCCGUCAGUGUCCAUGGUAUCCAUCCUCUUUCUUUACCUUUUCUAGUAAGAACUGCUUUAAAAAAAAAAUAAGCCAAGGAAUUCCUGGGGGCUUGUAUAGCUCAGAGAGAUGGGUAUGGGUCAAAGGGACUUGCUUCAAGGGGAUGGAAACCCACUUGGAAAUGAAAAGAGUCUGUUAUCUUUUAAUAAGUGAUCUUGAGUACCAUCGCUGCUUUUGGUUUGUUCCAUGUCAGCAUGAUAAUAACCAAUGUGUAAAGCUUUCGUUGAUAAUUCAGUUUCAGAGGUGAAAUCUGCAGUUUGAACUUAAAGGGGUAGUUACAGAGUAAUUUGAUGCCUGCCUUCCUAAGUGGUAACAUUAUCAGUUCCAAGCCAGUAUCCAUUUCAACAAGGAAUCAACUAGCCUAUGGCUUCUCAGAUCACAUACAAUCUCGGUUAUGACCUGAAAGGUGACCAACCAAAUGGCAUUAAUGCCAACAUUUUCAUUUACAAGAAGACAGGAGGACAAAGAAUUUACAACUGUGAUUUCUUUCAUUUCUCUUUUUCAAAUAAAGGUGAAAAUGAAGUUGUCAGAGUUCAGUUAUAGAGUAUGCGAGAGUGUGAUGUGCGUGUGGCCUUAAUUAAAUUUUCCUUAUACUCUUUUGGCUUCGGUUUUAGAAGGUAGAUCUAGAUAAAAGAGUAAAAGUCGUCAAGUGUGUCCAUUAAGCGCUUUGGAAGAAGAAGAUGGAGUACGGAUCGCUGUGUCCCCAUAGGAGCACUUUGGUGGCUCUAGCAGGAUGUUCCCAGAGCUUCUGAGAGCACUCCUAGGAAUCCAUGCUGGUACCCAGGCAAGUUAUUUUGAGAGUGAUCUCUGGAUGUAACCAUUAAAAUUGAAUGGUAGAAAGGUAACCUUCACAGGUUAGUAUGCUGAAAUAUGUUUGUUUUCUAACCCUACACCCUCCUGUGGGAUGUACCAUGAACUGGUUAACUGUGGGGACAUAGGAACAAUAACAGUGCUCCCUAAUAAGGCUCAGGAGUACCUGUGACCAUAAUAGUGUUGGGUACCAGGAUAGAAGGUUUCUAACAAGGUACAGAGCCAAGAAAAACCUGUCCAUCUCUUGUUAGGAACACUUAAGUUUUUUUUUAAAAGUAGCCACGUAAACUAAUUUCUGCCAUUCUGUAAUUAUGGCAAUGCACAUGUCCUCUUAUAAAGGAACAAGGCCUGGCUAAUGUGGGAAGAUGGAAGUCAUAUAGGAAGCUCCAUUUCAAGACUGGCUUUUUCUAAGAAAACCUUAGCUCUGGUGGUUUUCCUUGAUUAGUGAUCCUGUAAUGCUCUGUACAUCAAGAGCUGCUGGUGAAUAAUAAAACAAGAGAUUAUAAAUCACCCUUACUUAUUAUACAUAAAGUAUUUAAUUAUCCCUCUGUUAAUAACAAUGAGAUUCAGGGUUACCACGGCCUUACUCAUCAUCCCAUUGUAAAUAUGUCAGUCACAACAGGUCUGUGUUCAAACACACACAACCCAGUUCAGCCAGUAUCAUCCUUCUCGCAACACAGUUUGGAUCUUGAGUCCAUCAGUCAGCCACCUGAUCUGUGCACCUAUUCCGGGACUCCUAAGUCUGUGCAAGUCAUAUUCAGAACAACAGAAGAAAACAAAAGGACAGUUAUGCAAUUUUCCCACCGAGACAAAAUACACUAGACUGUUGAUCACCCCAAAGGUCUGACUGUUCCUCAUGACUGGCUUCUUUGAAUUUUCCAGAUGAUUACCGAGCAAUUUUCACCAAACCAAAGUAGACACUGUAGCAUUCUUUAAAAGUAAAGACUGUCCACCUGAAUGCAAAUACCCCUAGGAGUAAUCAAGAAGUCGGCCGCUCAAGCAGCACCUAUGGUUUUGUCGUGGCAUGUAUCUGGAAACUCUCUGCCAGAGUCCAGGAGUUCCAAGCCUAUGGUUUCCCAUCCUGUUGUCUGGCGUGCACACAGACAAACUGCUCAGGUGUGGCUGGUGGAACUUAACUUUCUGGCGUAGGAAUCUUUUGUUGGAGACAUUCUGCUGCUAACGGUUCUCUUUGCUGUGCAAAGAGAAAUAAAUCGUGCGGAGCAAUUGUGGUCUACUUUUAUUUUCUUUCUGAAAGCGUGUGGGUGGAAGGGGUCGGGUGGCUAAACACAACUGAGUGAGGACCUCCUGAACAUGGCUGCUCUUCGAGGCCUUGCAGCAGCUUUCCUACACAAGGAAACUUCUUUUAGCCUUUGCUAGAAUUAUGUUUUAUUAUUUUAUCAUUAUUCUGCUCUUUGUAAAUCUUAAACAUUUACAAAAUCUACCAAACAGAAUGGUUUAAGGAAAAUACAAAAUUUUUAACUUUUUAUUGUUCAAAUACAACUUUUUAUUUUACGUGUCACUUAUAAUUUCUUAAAGCUAAAAUCGUUUAAAUUGUUUGAUAGAAUUACUUCAUGGUGAAUGUUAUGACUACAGUUGUAGGAGAAAGGCUUUUUUCCCCAAAUCAAACAAGUUGUCUAACAUUGGGAUUCGGUUUGCUGAUGUCAUUCCAGUUCACAAGUAAUCGCUGCUUACUGUGAAUAUUGUAACGUGAGGGUUUCCCUAGUUAAUCCCUGCCACGUUUCUCCAGGAGCGGGGAAACAGACAUGCUGACCGCGAAGGAAAGCCGCCUUCCAGAAGGAGGGCUUCGGGCCCUAACACUGACCCAGGUGUGUUGAUUCCUGGUAACUUGGGGAAUUGAUCCCGCUCCUUCUGAGCUGCUGGGUGGUGAAGAUGCGAAUGUCCUUAAGUCGAGUGAUGUUUGGCAGCAAAACACACAACCUGUCCGACCUAUUUCCCUUUAAGAGCUCUUCAGCGGCUCAGUGUACUCUGGGGCCCUUGUUGUAGGUGAAAAAAAUCUUGAAGAGGAAUUUGGUUAUGAAAACAUCUUGAAAGAUUUCCAAAGACAGAGCAAAGGUUCCCAAGGACCCAGGGAGGGUUUUGAUUGUGUGAAACCCUACGUUCAGAGUCAAGAAUAACAUCAUGAGCAGAUGACAAAAUUUCUUCUUGAGUCUCUCCUUUCUUUAGGUUUAGAACACCUAAACCUCACCACUAAGCCAUGUUUGUCCACUGCUACUUGGCUGUUUUGUACCCUACCCUGAACACAGCUGUGGCCACAGCUGAGGUGCCCACAACCCCCACCGCCCAAACACUGCUUACAUGCACCCUGAAGGUUUUGGCUUUCCUUUUCCUCUUGGGAUUUUAAGUCAUCCGUCUCUGCACCUGUGUUACAGGUGAUUUUACAACAAAAAAGGAGCAAUUGAUUGGAAGUUGCACACAGAAAAGCAGUUUCCCUUAUGGUCUUUGAUUAUGAGGAGAUUGAUGUGAAAUUUAUAAUUUAGUUGAAAAGCAGAAAUCCCUGUGUUGAACAUUGUGACUGUUUUACACAUGUUUAAAGAUAUUAAAUGAAACAAUAUCUUUUUACACUAUGGCGUGUAUUCCAUUCUGGGUUCAGGCAUGAGGGCUUGUGGCAGAGACAGGAGUAAAGAAACCAGGAAUCUGUCCACACCUGGGUCCUGACCCCUACUCUAGCCCUUUACCUCAACACUUACUUUGGCCUCAUUGAUCCCAUAUAAAAGAGUGAGGUUAUUUGUUUACCUACCUCAUAGGGCGUUUUAAAGACUGCAAGAGCUGGCAAAGACUUGGGUUAGAGAGUACCACGCCUCUCGCUAAGUAGCAGGAGCGUGGAGAACCGUGUGCGCCACAGAGCUAAGAAGAGUGGGUACCGCAAUUGUCUGAGAAAUAACAGCUGUUCCAGUUAACACAAGAAACUUUUCCCUUAGAGGUCUAGGUAGAAAUUACAAGCCUUUAAUGAGAACAAGCAGCUUUCAUAUAGACCUGGAGUGUCUCCAGGUAGAUAGACCUCUUUCUUCUUAAUCACAUCGAAUUGUACUAAGUGUUCAUAAAUACAUCUAGAAAACCUGGCCCUUUCUGAUACCUCAGGAGUUGCAUGGCCGCCCCCAUUUUUUUAGAACCAGGUACAGUCUAAUGCAGUACUGGUGAUGCCAACUGAACUUCUAGAACCGAGUCCUGGAUGGCUAUAUUAUUAAGAUUUGAUUUGGAAUGAUUUAUCUGGGUUUGUGUUUCAUUCCUAACACCUUUGCCACAGAAGAAUGUGGAGCCCCCUUCCUGUUUAGAACUCUUGAGCUGAUUUGGCUUCACGUUAGAAAUGUAUUUCAAACAUUUCAGAGAAGUGCUUGUACAAUAGUUUCAGCAAUAUAUUGAAAUGAGUGGACCUGCAUAAAUGCAAUACACAGAAGUGAGUCCUAUGAAAGAUUUAAAAAGGCAGGAAGAUGUAGGAAAAACAGCCCCGGUGAAAUCCUGGACACCUCUACCAAAGCAAUGUGUCCCCUUGCUUUAAAGACUAAACAUAACCAGAACUAAAUGUAUAUAAUAUGAGUUGGGGCUAUAAACAUUUGCAAGUUUUGAGUCAUAGGGGCAAUACUGUGAAGUAAGAAUAUACCCAUGGAACUAUGCUAGAAAAUGGGGGUAAUAUUUUAAGGAUGUGGCUCCUUUGGGUACCCUUGUUUAACAAUUAUACUCAUCUACAAAAUAAAUUUUAUAGUCUUAAAAAUUGAAAUAGUUUCCAAAUUUUCCCUUGAGGAAUGAAUUCAAAAUCAUACUGCACUUGAAUUACAUACUAUGUUGACAUCCGAUAUAAUCUCUUCUGGACUCUAAAAUUUAUUUUCCAUUGGACUUAAUCAAAGAUUUAAAUUUUCAAAUUGGUUAAACAUUUCUAAUGCAUGACAUUAGGCUUUCUGCAGCACGAUCAUAUCAUAGAAAAUUGUGUGACACCUUCAAACUAUCUGCACUGCCAGAAAAAUCUGUUAGCACAGACUGGUCACGUAAGCACCAGGCAUGAGUCAAAGGUAAUUUGAAUAUUCCUCAAUUUCUAUCCCCUUCCGAUAUCAAUAUUUUUCUACCCAAAAUGCAAAAGUGUAUCCUUUCUAUCAUGAAACUAAGGAUCAGUUUUUAUUCAGUUUUAUACAGAAACCUGAAGUCAACUAUUCGGUUGAAUUUCAGGUGGGUUUUCUGGGAUUAGCAGGAGGCACUGCAGAGAACAUGCGACAGAGAGGUUUUAUCACCAAGUGCAACACAGAACCUAAGCAUGCCAGGGCUGGACAGCUCUGGGAAGCAAUGGCUUAGGGUUUUCACCAGCAGAGAAAAGCACAGUGCCAACAACGCGUCCUUUAGCACAGAUGCAUGUGAUUACUCACUCCAGGCCCAUCAUUCGGCGAGUGCCACAUAUCUGAUUGUUUCUAAGUACAACUGCCAAGUUCUAUGGCUGCAUCUGGCUAACAUUCUUUUCAAUGAACAAGUGAUAAACCCAGGCACACAGAGAUAAAUUCUCGUCUGCUUAAAAGAAAAAUCUCCCAGUUUAUUUAUAUCAACUAUAUCACUAAUAUAUUAACUUCACAAAGCUUUCUCAUCCACUCUUUGGUCAACUGUUUAUUUGAGCCUCGCUUUCUCUCAUCAGUGGGGCAAAAUGGAAGAGGACAUGGUUGACCUGAAUGGGAAUCUUGCUUCUGAUAAAGAGAGAGAGAGAGAGAGAGAGAGAGAGAGAGAGAGAGAGAGAGAGAGAGAAAUCCUGCUUUUCUUCUCCAUAGCCAGGUAGCUCAGUAGCCUCAAAAGGACCCGGUGAUAGAUGGGAAUAUGGCUUCUGUUCUCAGAAGGAAGAGAGUCAAUAGGAAACCAAGAUGUCUUUCCUCUUUGAAGCCAAGCACUACCCUGAAUUUAGAGCUAAUGUGAGAGAAUACUGUCUCUCCUUUUGGUUACCAUUCUCUCUCAUUCUUUUGCAGUUAGGGUUGGAAUUUCCAGUAAUGAUAAAUAAUGUUACUUUGUAUGAUGACUUCAGUGUAUGUAUUGUGAAAGAGUUAGCUACAGAAGACUGGGAAGCUUGCUUCCUCUGUAUUUCCAUCCAAGCAAGGGCUUGGGAAAGCACCAGUCACGCUGACAGUCUGGACGAACCAAGGGUAUCCGUGAGGACAACCGUUUUGCUGUGUAUGAAGCCAUCGUACAAGGUGAACCUGCUUCCAAAUGACAAGGGUUUGGACUGCUGACACAGGCUCUUCAUUCGCUCAUGAUUUUAUCCUGUAAGUUUCACAUGUAACUACCUCAGCUACUGGUGUCUGAUUUAGAAACACCGUUCACUUCGCCAUUAUUAAAUUAUUUCAUGGAAAAUAUCAAAAUGUUAUUUGGUGUGAAGCAAUUUUCAGAAGUUUUAAGAAGGCAUAAACAGCUCGACAUCCGCCAGUUCUACUGUUUUUGGUUUCUUUCUAAGCAUAGUUUGGAAUUAAAAAUAAAAACCACUUCCACCCAGCAUAAAGAGAGGUUGUAUAUAUUUACUUAAUUUGCCUUAAAUAUGUUGUGGGUUUUUUCCUCUGUCCAUUUAUUUUUUCUAAAUUUAUCUCUGAAAAAAAAACCCAAUGCUGGUAGAUGAAGAACGACCUGAAGAGAACAGACACUGGGUUCUCAGCUCCCAACUUCAGCUUACAUAGUAUUCUGAUCCACAGUGGCCAUUUUUGUGUUUCUCUCUCCAUUUCAGAAAUAAGGUGUGUGCAGGCAACGUGAAGACACUUCCCCUGGACAGCGCGGUGCCUGGCCUCGGGUGCAAACCUGCCGGUCCUGUGCUCUUACUUUGUAAACACUGUACAAAUGUAUUUGGAAUUUUAUUUGGAAAACAAAAAAAAAGAGUUAAAUGAGUUAUUAAAUUCCUUCCUGUAAAUAUAUAUAGAGAGAUAUACAUAUUCCAACCCCGCAUAGCCAGACAUUCCUUUAGCAUUCCGAUUGUACAUGUGUCUUUCUCGGCAGGAGCUGCUGCCCUGGGCAGUGGCCCCGAGUGCCCUAGCUCAAAGCACAGUGCGUGGAGUAUUUGAUCUACUGCGGUACUAUAGUUAUUUUGGUCAGUUAAGCAAGUUGCAAUUUGUGAUGACAUGAAGUGGAAAGUAGUGCUUCAUAAUGAAUAAAUCUCCUGGGUUAUCUGAUUUUUUUUUCUUGUAAAACUUUAAAAAAAAAAAGAAAACUUGAAAUUUUAUAUAUUUGGAUUUUGUAGAUUUUUUUUAUUUUAUUGCAACACAAGGUACCAAAAUCAUUAAAUAAAGUACACUGUGGUCAUUU